rnacentral:rRNA from 1 species
CGCAAGCCUGAUGCAGCCAUGCCGCGUGUAUGAAGAAGGCCUUCGGGUUGUAAAGUACUUUCAGCAGUGAGGAAGGUGGGUAUGUUAAUAGCAUACUCAUUUGACGUUAGCUGCAGAAGAAGCACCGGCUAACUCCGUGCCAGCAGCCGCGGUAAUACGGAGGGUGCGAGCGUUAAUCGGAAUUACUGGGCGUAAAGCGCAUGCAGGUGGUUUGUUAAGUCAGAUGUGAAAGCCCGGGGCUCAACCUCGGAAUUUGCUAUUUGAAAACUGGACAAACUAGAGUACUGGUAGAGGGGGUAGAAUUUCAGGUGUAGCGGUGAAAUGCGUAGAGAUCUGAAGGAAUACCGGUGGCGAAGGCGGCCCCCUGGACAGAUACUGACACUCAGAUGCGAAAGCGUGGGGAGCAAACAGGAUUAGAUACCCUGGUAG